rnacentral:rRNA from 1 species
ACGUUAUUCGGAAUCACUGGGCUUAAAGCGCGUGUAGGCGGGCCGCCACGUCGGCUACUGAAAUCCCCCGGCUCAACCGGGGAAGUGGCACCGAUACGAGCGGCCUCGAGGGGGGUAGGGGGGUCUGGAACUUCCGGUGGAGCGGUGAAAUGCGUUGAGAUCAGAAGGAACGCCCGUGGCGAAAGCGAGGCCCUGGACCCUUACUGACGCUGAGACGCGAAAGCCA